GAUGAAGAACGCAGCGAAAUGCGAUAAGUAGUGUGAAUUGCAGAAUUCAGUGAAUCAUCGAAUCUUUGAACGCACAUUGCGCCUUCUAGUAUUCUGGGAGGCAUGCCUGUUUGAGCGUCAUUAAACCUCUCUCAAGUAUGAUUACUUGGAUGUGAAGGAAGAGUACCUUAAACUUAAGGAGUGUUCUCCUUUGAAAUCGAUUAGCAGAUGGUAAUGUUAUUAAAUCCCUGAUGUUGUAAGAAAUAACAGUGGUUUUGUAGACUAUUAUCUAGCUUUAAAUUAUAAUUUUUAUUAUGGUUGACCUCAAAUCAGGUAAGGAUACCCGCUGAACUUAAGCAUAUCAAUAAGCGGAGGA
rnacentral:misc_RNA from 1 species